rnacentral:rRNA from 1 species
UACGUAGGGUGCAAGCGUUGUCCGGAAUUAUUGGGCGUAAAGAGUUCGUAGGCGGUCUGUCACGUCGGGAGUGAAAACUCAGGGCUUAACCCUGAGCCUGCUUCCGAUACGGGCAGACUAGAGGUAUGCAGGGGAGAACGGAAUUCCUGGUGUAGCGGUGAAAUGCGCAGAUAUCAGGAGGAACACCGGUGGCGAAGGCGGUUCUCUGGGCAUUACCUGACGCUGAGGAGCGAAAGUGUGGGGAGCGAACAGG